UACGUAGGGGGCUAGCGUUGUCCGGAAUCAUUGGGCGUAAAGCGCGUGUAGGCGGCCCGGUAAGUCCGCUGUGAAAGUCGGGGGCUCAACCCUCGAAAGCCGGUGGAUACUGUCGGGCUCGAGUACGGGAGAGGCGACUGGAAUUCCUGGUGUAGCGGUGAAAUGCGCAGAUAUCAGGAGGAACACCGGAUGGCGAAGGCAGGUCUCUGGGCAUUAACUGACGCUGAGGAGCGAAAGCAUGGGGAGCGAACAGG
rnacentral:rRNA from 1 species